rnacentral:tRNA from 1 species
GCCUUAGUGGUGUAGUGGUCAGCACGCUCGACGCGUAACCGAGAGGUCCGUGGUUCGAUUCCCGGCGAAGGCG